rnacentral:lncRNA from 1 species
UAGGCAUGGGUCAUUCCGAGGAUUCUUGGGUGUGAGAAAAACAAGGAAGAAAAAGAGAAGAAGGGGUUCUUCUCUAGGGUUUUCUUUAUUCUCCUUAGGUAUGUCUUUGAGAGAGAAAAGAGUGAGGAGUCUCUUUUCAUCAUCCACCAUACCAUCAGCCUCUUUCUUCGUAGAGAGCCUAAGAAAAAAAGGAAGUUGAAGAAAAUCUACAUCAACUAUCAGGAAGUAUCUUCUACACGGGAGCUAGCACCACAAUGAAGAUAUAGGCCUCUGAUCGGAUCGAAGGCUUCGUAUGAAUAUCCAUAAAGGUUGGACGCAUGUGUGGCUCUACAUGAACCUUAUCGGAUUACCACGAUCAUCGACAGUGGAGAUCAUCAACCCAUGAAAAGGUAUG